CUUUGAAAGUGUAUUCAUUUUAAAUGAAGUAGGUUUUACUUUUUGUCAAAAUAUAGGUGGCAGCUAGUUUGGAAAAGAAUCUUAUUCCUAAACUGACUAGCUCCUUACCUGAUGUUGAAGCAUUGAGGUUUUAUCUUACUCUACCAGAAUGUCCCCUGAUGAGUGAUUCCAACAAUUUCACAACAAUAGCAAUUCCCUUUGGUACAGCUCUUGUGAACCUAGAAAAGGCACCACUGAAAGUACUUGAAAACUGGUGGUCAGUACUUGAACCUCCACUAUUCCUCAAGAUAGUAGAACUUUUUAAGGAAGUUGUGGUACAUCUUUUGAAACUCUACAAGAUCGGUAUUCCCCCUUCUGAAAGAAGAAUUUUCAACAGUUUUCUUCAUACUGCAUUAAAGGUUUUAGAAAUACUACAUAGGGUAUGUCCAAUCAUUCCUUUAUUUUCCUCUUUCCCCAUUCCUAUUAACAGAUUGAUACUGUUCAUUUUAACAUUAAUCUAUUAAAGAUUUAGAUUGGCAAAAACAAUGCAUAUUAUAGAAAUUUGGAAAAGUUAUCUAUACUUUCUCUUAAAAGAAGUAAUAAACCUGUCCUUUGGAGCUCUGGUCUUACCUGACUUUGUUAGGCAUGUAUAGAUAACUUAUCCAUAGUUGGGCAGAACAAUAACAUACUAAUGAGUUAGAAUUCUCCUUAUAUUUCCUUAUGAAGAAUAUAAUUUGUUAGUUUGCAUUAUAUGGUUUUUGUUAGCUGUAAGUGGUUAUCUUGUGAAAGAGAUUGGGUCCUAGUUGUAAUUAUGAACAUUAAAACUUGUGUUCUUUUGCUGUAGGGUACUAAUGGCCUCAAAGUAGAACAUUUCAUUUGAAACAAAUGACUAAUUUAAAAUUGGAACCGUAUGUAAUUCAUUAAUUUGCCUAUUGUUCUUCCCUGCCCUUCUUCCCAGUGUAACAAAUAGUACCCUUUACACUUGUAGCAGUUCAAAGUUAUAUGAAGAAGUAGACUCUGAGCUGUUUCAUUAAAGAUGGAUUUUCAUCCCUGACAGUUGGUAGGUAUACCUCUGUUAUGCCAUUUGGUUUUCUCAAGUUGCUAUUUAGAUGAGACAUGACCUAAGGGAGAAGCGUAUGUUUCUAACCUAUGGAAUGACUAAAAAACCCACAUGAACCUUUAAUCUUUAGUUUCUUCUCCUUAACAGCUUCUUUGCAUUUUCAGACCCUCUUGCCUAGUGCUAAGGUAAAUAAUAAAGGGAUAAAGGAGAUAAUCCAUCUGUUCUUUGUCUAAGAACAAACCUUUACCGGCCAUUUAUUUUCCUAUUUUAGUGAAGCUCCUGGGUAUUUUUCUCAACUACUUAACUUUCUGGACUUACUUUUUUCUUUGGUAUUUAGUAUGUCCAAGAUUCCUAGAAAAACAACUCAUUUCUCUUCAUUUUGAUUGAUGAAAUCAUAGCCAUGUAUUUCCUAGGGAAACAGGUCAUUCUUAUGUUUGCCUUUACCCAGAACAGGGCUUUCUUUUAGCAUAUCAGGGUCCAGGUCUGCAGUAAACAGUUACUAAGAAGAUUCUCUAACUACAUGAGAUGGGUCUCUACCUUUCUGUGUACUGUUUGCCGAGGAUUCAAGAGAUUAAUUAGAUUGUUUCUUUUCUCUGGACUUCAUCCUACUGCUUUGGUGAACAAUCCCUUUUCAGCUGGACCCUAUUACCAAAUAAUUACUCAUUCUGUGCUUUCAUUAUCU
rnacentral:lncRNA from 1 species